ACUUCUAGUAAUAUGUAUUUUGCGUAAGUGAGCAGUUUGUUGGGUACAGGGAGUUAUAUUAUCAAAGUUCAUACUAACCCAGUUCAAUUUAUUCAACUUUGGUUGUACUAAACAGUUAACUAGUUUGGUUCUAUUUUAGCUGCCUUCUUUUUGGUAACAAUGAUGCAGAUUAAUAAACAAUUCUGAUGUUGUUAGACUCUAAAACACAACGACCGCCUUUGAACUAUUUGAAUACAGCACUGGUUUCUGCACAACAAAAGCUUAAUAUCAAAAAGAAGGCAGAUGUUACCAACAUCAAAAAUACUUAACAUAAUUACUAAAUGCUACCAUCUCCUUUCCUACAGUGAGAACAAAUUGGUUCCUUUCUACUUGAUGCCUCCUCGUUGGACCUGGCUGGUUAAUUUUGAUGUUUCAUUUGGAUUUCUGUUCUGGUUGAGAAGCACAACUCGUGCUUAUUCACAAUCAAAUUUUGUGAGAACAAAUUGGUUCCUUUCUACUUGAUGCCUCCUCGUUGGACCUGGCUGGUUAAUUUUGAUGUUUCAUUUGGAUUUCUGUUCUGGUUAAGAAGCAUGACUCGUUCCUUUUCACAUUCAAAUUUUGUGAGAACAAAUUGGUUCCUUUCUACUUGAUGCCUCCUCGUUGGACCUGGCUGGUUAAUUUUGAUGUUUUAUUUGGAUUUCUGUUCUUGUUAAGAAGCACAACUCGUACUUAUUCACAAUCAAAUUUCAGUGAUUUACCAAGAUAUGGGUCAAGAAGCUUUAUGCCUUAUGUGGAGAAUCUUUGUUCUGGAACGCUUUUAACAUUUUUUUCUAUAUUUUAUAUGGUAACAUUA